UUAAUGAGAGUUUGAUCCUGGCUCAGGAUGAACGCUGGCGGCGUGCCUAAUACAUGCAAGUAGAACGCUGAAGCUUGGUGCUUGCACCGAGCGGAGGAGUUGCGAACGGGUGAGUAACGCGUAGGUAACCUGCCUCUUAGCGGGGGAUAACUAUUGGAAACGAUAGCUAAUACCGCAUAAAAGUCGACAUUGCAUGAUGUUGACUUGAAAGGUGCAAAUGCAUCACUAAGAGAUGGACCUGCGUUGUAUUAGCUAGUUGGUGAGGUAACGGCUCACCAAGGCGACGAUACAUAGCCGACCUGAGAGGGUGAUCGGCCACACUGGGACUGAGACACGGCCCAGACUCCUACGGGAGGCAGCAGUAGGGAAUCUUCGGCAAUGGACGGAAGUCUGACCGAGCAACGCCGCGUGAGUGAAGAAGGUUUUCGGAUCGUAAAGCUCUGUUGUAAGAGAAGAACGAGUGUGAGAGUGGAAAGUUCACACUGUGACGGUAACUUACCAGAAAGGGACGGCUAACUACGUGCCAGCAGCCGCGGUAAUACGUAGGUCCCGAGCGUUAUCCGGAUUUAUUGGGCGUAAAGCGAGCGCAGGCGGUUAGAUAAGUCUGAAGUUAAAGGCUGUGGC
rnacentral:rRNA from 1 species